GUUUGAUCCUGGCUCAGAUUGAACGCUGGCGGCAGGCCUAACACGUGCAAGUCGAGCGGAUGACGGGAGCUUGCUCCUUGAUUCAGCGGCGGACGGGUGAGUAAUGCCUAGGAAUCUGCCUGGUAGUGGGGGACAACGUUUCGAAAGGAACGCUAAUACCGCAUACGUCCUACGGGAGAAAGCAGGGGACCUUCGGGCCUUGCGCUAUCAGAUGAGCCUAGGUCGGAUUAGCUUGUUGGUGAGGUAAUGGCUCACCAAGGCGACGAUCCGUAACUGGUCUGAGAGGAUGAUCAGUCACACUGGAACUGAGACACGGUCCAGACUCCUACGGGAGGCAGCAGUGGGGAAUAUUGGGACAUGGGCGAAAGCCUGAUCCAGCCAUGCCGCGUGUGUGACGCAGGGUCUUUCGGGAUUUGUACAGCACUUUACGUGGGGAGGCAGGGGUUGUANAUCACUACUCUGCCAUUUUGACGUUACCGCCAGAAUAACCCCGGCUACCUCUGUGCCAGCAGCCCGCGUAAUACAGAGGGUGCCAGCGUUUAUCGGAUUACUGGGC
rnacentral:rRNA from 1 species